UACGUAGGGUGCAAACGUUGCUCGGAAUUAUUGGGCGUAAAGCGCACGUAGGCGGCUUAGUAAGUCGGACGUGAAAUCCCUCGGCUCAACCGAGGAACUGCGUCCGAUACUGGUGGGCUUGAAUCCGGGAGAGGGAUGUGGAAUUCCAGGUGUAGCGGUGAAAUGCGUAGAUAUCUGGAGGAACACCGGUGGCGAAGGCGGCAUCCUGGACCGGUAUUGACGCUGAGAUGCGAAAGCGUGGGGAGCAAAAAGG
rnacentral:rRNA from 1 species